rnacentral:rRNA from 1 species
CUACGUGCCAGCAGCCGCGGUAAUACGUAGGGCGCGAGCGUUGUCCGGAAUUAUUGGGCGUAAAGAGCUUGUAGGCGGUUUGUCGCGUCUGCUGUGAAAGGCCGGGGCUUAACUCCGUGUAUUGCAGUGGGUACGGGCAGACUAGAGUGCAGUAGGGGAGACUGGAAUUCCUGGUGUAGCGGUGGAAUGCGCAGAUAUCAGGAGGAACACCGAUGGCGAAGGCAGGUCUCUGGGCUGUAACUGACGCUGAGAAGCGAAAGCAUGGGGAGCGAACAGGAUUAGAUACCCUGGUAGUCCACGCUGUAAACGAUGUCGAUUUGGGGGUUGAGCUUUAAGUUUGGCGCCCGUAGCUAACGUGAUAAAUCGACCGCCUGGGGAGUACGGCCGCAAGGUUAAAACUCAAAUGAAUUGACGGGGGCCCGCACAAGCGGUGGAGCAUGUGGUUUAAUUCGAUGCAACGCGAAGAACCUUACCUACUCUUGACAUCCAGA